rnacentral:rRNA from 1 species
CUGGCUCAGAACGAACGCUGGCGGCGUGCUUAACACAUGCAAGUCGCGUGCGCAGUUCCUGUAGCAAUACAGGGGAUGGGCGCACGGCGCACGGGUGCGUAACACGUGGGCAAUCUGCCCUCCGAUGGGGAAUAACCCCGCGAAAGCGGGGCUAAUACCGCGUAACAUUCCUUGAGCGAUGGUUUGAGGAUUCAAAGCAGUAAUGCGUCGGAGGAGGAGCCCGCGCCCGAUUAGCUAGUUGGUGAGGUAACGGCUCACCAAGGCAAUGAUCGGUAGCUGGUCUGAGAGGAUGAUCAGCCACACUGGAACUGAGACACGGUCCAGACUCCUACGGGAGGCAGCAGUGGGGAAUCUUGCACAAUGGGCGAAAGCCUGAUGCCAGCGACGCCGCGUGGGGGAUGAAGCUUCUCGGAGUGUAAACCCCUUUCGCCUGGGACGAAUGCCCGCAAGGGAGUGACGGUACCAGGAUAAGAAGCCCCGGCUAACUACGUGCCAGCCGCGGC